rnacentral:rRNA from 1 species
GUCAAGUAAUUAAGUGCAUGUGGUGGAUGCCUUGGCAGUCAGAGGCGAUGAAAGACGUGAUAGCCUGCGAAAAGCUCCGGGGAGGCGGCAAAUAUCCUUUGAUCCGGAGAUGUCUGAAUGGGGGAACCCACCUACUUUAAGGUAGGUAUUGCAACAUGAAUACAUAGUGUUGCAAGGCGAACGAGGGGAAGUGAAACAUCUCAGUACCCUUAGGAAAAGAAAUCAAUUGAGAUUCCCUCAGUAGCGGCGAGCGAACGGGGAUCAGCCCAUUAAGUUAUGUGUGUUUUAGUGGAACGCUCUGGGAAGUGCGAACGUAGAGGGUGAUAUUCCCGUACACGAAAGGGCACACAUAAUGAUGACGAGUAGGGCGAGGCACGUGAAACCUUGUCUGAAUAUGGGGGGACCAUCCUCCAAGGCUAAAUACUCCUGACUGACCGAUAGUGAACCAGUACCGUGAGGGAAAGGCGAAAAGAACCCCUGUGAGGGGAGUGAAAUAGAUCCUGAAACCGCAUGCAUACAAGCAGUGGGAGCACCUUCGUGGUGUGACUGCGUACCUUUUGUAUAAUGGGUCAGCGACUUAUAUUCAGUAGCGAGGUUAACCGUAUAGGGGAGCCGUAGAGAAAUCGAGUCUUAAUAGGGCGUUUAGUUGCUGGGUAUAGACCCGAAACCAGGCGAUCUAUCCAUGAGCAGGUUGAAGGUUGGGUAACACUAACUGGAGGACCGAACCCACUGUCGUUGAAAAGCCAGGGGAUGACUUGUGGAUAGGGGUGAAAGGCUAAUCAAGCCUGGUGAUAGCUGGUUCUCCCCGAAAGCUAUUUAGGUAGCGCCUCGGACGAAUACCAUAGGGGGUAGAGCACUGUUUCGGCUAGGGGGUCAUCCCGACUUACCAAACCGAUGCAAACUCCGAAUACCUAUGAGUACUAUCCGGGAGACAGACUGCGGGUGCUAACGUCCGUAGUCAAGAGGAAAACAAUCCAGACCGCCAGCUAAGGCCCCAAAAUCAUAGUUAAGUGGGAAACGAUGUGGGAAGGCAUAGACAGCUAGGAGGUUGGCUUAGAAGCAGCCACCCUUUAAAGAAAGCGUAAUAGCUCACUAGUCGAGUCGGCCUGCGCGGAAGAUGUAACGGGGCUAAAACUAUGUGCCGAAGCUGCGGAUGUAUACUUUGUAUACGUGGUAGGGGAGCGUUCUGUAAGCCGAUGAAGGUGUGUUGAGAAGCAUGCUGGAGGUAUCAGAAGUGCGAAUGCUGACGUGAGUAACGACAAAACGGGUGAAAAACCCGUUCGCCGAAAGACCAAGGGUUCCAGUCCAACGUUAAUCGGGGCUGGGUGAGUCGACCCCUAAGGCGAGGCCGAAAGGCGUAGUCGAUGGGAAAAUGGUUAAUAUUCCAUUACUUCUGUGUAAUGCGAUGAGAGGACGGAGAAGGCUAAAUCAGCCUGGCGUUGGUUGUCCAGGUGAAAGGAUGUAGGCAUGUAUCUUAGGCAAAUCCGGGGUACUCUAUGCUGAGAUCUGAUAGCAAGCUGUACUUGUACAGCGAAGUGGUUGAUGCCAUGCUUCCAGGAAAAGUCUCUAAGCUUCAGUUACACAGGAAUCGUACCCGAAACCGACACAGGUGGUCAGGUCGAGUAGACCAAGGCGCUUGAGAGAACUCUGCUGAAGGAACUAGGCAAAAUGGUACCGUAACUUCGGGAGAAGGUACGCUGUUGUUGGUGAUGGAACUCGCUUCCUGAGCUGACGACAGCCGCAGAAACCAGGCCGCUGCAACUGUUUAUUAAAAACAUAGCACUCUGCAAACACGAAAGUGGACGUAUAGGGUGUGAUGCCUGCCCGGUGCUGGAAGGUUAAUUGAUGGGGUUAGCGUAAGCGAAGCUCUUGAUCGAAGCCCCAGUAAACGGCGGCCGUAACUAUAACGGUCCUAAGGUAGCGAAAUUCCUUGUCGGGUAAGUUCCGACCUGCACGAAUGGCAUAAUGAUGGCGGCGCUGUCUCCAGCAGAGGCUCAGUGAAAUCGAAAUCGCUGUGAAGAUGCAGUGUACCCGCGGCUAGACGGAAAGACCCCGUGAACCUUUACUGCAGCUUGACACUGAACUUUGACCUUACUUGUGUAGGAUAGGUGGGAGGCUUUGAAGCUGGAACGCUAGUUCCAGUGGAGCCGUCCUUGAAAUACCACCCUGGUAAUGUUGAGGUUCUAACUCUGUCCCGUGAUCCGGGACGAGGACCGUGUCUGGUGGGUAGUUUGACUGGGGCGGUCUCCUCCUAAAGAGUAACGGAGGAGUACGAAGGUGCGCUCAGCGUGGUCGGAAAUCACGCGUAGAGUAUAAAGGCAAAAGCGCGCUUAACUGCGAGACCCACAAGUCGAGCAGGUACGAAAGUAGGUCUUAGUGAUCCGGUGGUUCUGUAUGGAAGGGCCAUCGCUCAACGGAUAAAAGGUACUCUGGGGAUAACAGGCUGAUACCGCCCAAGAGUUCAUAUCGACGGCGGUGUUUGGCACCUCGAUGUCGGCUCAUCUCAUCCUGGGGCUGAAGCAGGUCCCAAGGGUAUGGCUGUUCGCCAUUUAAAGAGGUACGCGAGCUGGGUUUAGAACGUCGUGAGACAGUUCGGUCCCUAUCUACCGUGGGCGCUGGAAAUUUGAGAGGAUCUGCUCCUAGUACGAGAGGACCAGAGUGGACGAACCUCUGGUGUACCGGUUGUGACGCCAGUCGCAUCGCCGGGUAGCUAUGUUCGGAAGGGAUAACCGCUGAAAGCAUCUAAGCGGGAAGCCUACCUCAAGAUAAGAUUUCCCUAGGACUUUAUGUCCUCUAAAGAGCCGUUCGAGACUAGGACGUUGAUAGGUUGGAUGUGGAAGCAUAGUGAUAUGUGAAGCUGACCAAUACUAAUUGCUCGUGAGGCUUGACUAUACAACACCCAAGCAGUUG